UACGUAGGUGGCGAGCGUUGUCCGGAAUUACUGGGUGUAAAGCGUGCGUAGACGGUUAUGUAAGUCGGGUGUGAAAGCCCCGGGCUCAACCUGGGAAUUGCAUUCGAGACUGGAUAGCUAGGGUGCGGAAGAGGGAAGCGGAAUUUCAGGUGUAGCGGUGAAAUGCGUAGAUAUCUGAAGGAACACCAGUGGCGAAAGCGGCUUCCUGGUCCAGCACCGACGUUCAGGCACGAAAGCGUGGGGAGCAAACAGG
rnacentral:rRNA from 1 species